rnacentral:rRNA from 1 species
ACGGCGAGUGAAGCGGUAACAGCUCAAAUUUGAAAUCUGGGUCUUUCAGGCUCCGAGUUGUAAUUUGUAGAAGAUGCUUCGGGUGCGGCUCCGGUCUAAGUUCCUUGGAACAGGACGUCAUAGAGGGUGAGAAUCCCGUAUGUGAUCGGUUGCUUGCGCCCAUGUGAAGCUCUUUCGACGAGUCGAGUUGUUUGGGAAUGCAGCUCAAAAUGGGUGGUAAAUUUCAUCUAAAGCUAAAUAUUGGCCAGAGACCGAUAGCGCACAAGUAGAGUGAUCGAAAGAUGAAAAGCACUUUGGAAAGAGAGUUAAACAGUACGUGAAAUUGUUGAAAGGGAAGCGCUUGCAACCAGACUUGCGCGUGGCCGAUCAUCCGGGGUUCUCCCCGGUGCACUCGGCCUCGCUCAGGCCAGCAUCGGUUUCGGUGGUGGGAUAAAGGCCUUGGGAAUGUGGCUCCUCUCGGGGAGUGUUAUAGCCCUCGGUGCAAUGCCGCCUACCGGGACCGAGGACCGCGCUUCGGCUAGGAUGCUGGCGUAAUGGUUGUAAGCGACCCGUCUUGAAACACGGACCAAGGAGUCUAACAUCUAUGCGAGUGUUUGGGUGUCAAACCCAUACGCGUAAUGAAAGUGAACGGAGGUGAGAACCCUUAAGGGUGCAUCAUCGACCGAUCCUGAUGUCUUCGGAUGGAUUUGAGUAAGAGCAUAGCUGUUGGGACCCGAAAGAUGGUGAACUAUGCCUGAAUAGGGUGAAGCCAGAGGAAACUCUGGUGGAGGCUCGCAGCGGUUCUGACGUGCAAAUCGAUCGUCAAAUUUGGGUAUA